GGGGUUGUGGCUCAGUGGUAGAGCACUUGCCUAGCAUGUAUGAGGCACUGGGUUUGAUCCCCGACACCA
rnacentral:tRNA from 1 species